rnacentral:lncRNA from 1 species
GCUCUUCUCCCGGUAGAGCGGGCUCUUGCUGUGCCCGAAGCGGCGGCUGGAACGGGGCAAAAACCGACCGAAUCGGUUAAAAAAGGGCCGAGAUAUGGGAAAAAAGCCAUUUUGGGGUGAAAAAAGGGGAAAUCGGGUACCGGGAUCGCUCGUCGCGCCGGCGCUCGCGGCUGCGGGAUCGGCGCCGUUCGCGGCUCCGGGACCGGUGGCGGCUGCGGCGGUCGCGGCUGCGGGAUCGGCGGCGCCGGUCUCGGUCCCGGCUGCGACUGAUUUUGGCGUUUUUAGCCCCAAAACGGCACCGGAGGGCGCGGGAAAGCCAAAAGGGCCGGGUUUGGCCCCAAAACGACCUCACCUGUGUCUGUGGUCGCGGCUCCGGCUCCGGCUGCGGCUCCGCUUCUUCCGGCUGCUGCUGCUGCCGCCGCUCUCCUUCUUCGUCUCUUUGCUCUGCUCCUCCGCUGGCGGCUGCGGGGGGGGGCUCCGUCGGCGGCUUGGAGGGGCCGGGCUGGGCCUGGAACCAGAGGGGGCGUCAGGGGCAGACCCCAAAAGCCCAGAAACGGCCCCAAAACCCCUUUAGGGAUCCCCAAACCCCUUUAAAAGUCCCCAAAUUCCUUUAAAUGGCCCCAAAAUCCCUUGAAAUGACCCCAAAACCUCUUCAAGUGACCCCAAAAUCCCCUUAAGUGACCCUAAAAUCCCCUUAAAUAACCCCAAAUCCCAUUAAAUGCCACCAAAACCCUCUAAAAAUACCCCCAAAUCCCCUUAAACUGUCCCUAAAACCCCUAAAAUGACCCCAAAACCUUUUAAGUGACCCUAAAAUCCCUGAAAUAACCCCAAAAUGCCCUUAAACACCCCCAAAACCCUUAAAUUGACCCCUGAACCCCUUUAGAUGACCCUAAAACCCCUAAAACGCCCCCAAAAUCCCUUAAAUAACCCCAAAACCUUUAGUGACCCUAAAACCCCUGAAAUAACCCCAAAAUUUUUAAACCGACCCUAAAAUGCCUGAAAUAACCCCAAAAUCCCCUUAAACGCCCCCAAAACCCCCUUAAACAACCCUAAAAACCCUAAAAAAAAACUAAAACACCCCCAAAAUCCCUUUAAAUCCCCCCCCAAAAACCCUUCAAAACCACCCCCAAAAUCCCUUUAAUUACACCCAAAAUCCCCUCCAGGUGCCCCCAGGCCCCGCCCCCUCCCACCUUAGGCCCCGCCCCCUCCCGCCUCAAGCCCCGCCCACCAUCCCCUAAGCCCCGCCCCCUCCCCAGGCCCCGCCCCCUCCCCCAGGCCCCGCCCACCUCCUCCUUCUUGUAGGGCGCCUCCAGCAUGGCCUCGAUGACGAUGUCGAAGUCGUCUGACGUCAUGGCGUCCGCCUGGCCCAAAAACGCCCAAAAUGGACCCAAAAUCAACCCGAGCGGCACCGAACACAGCCCGGGAAACAAAAACGGACACGGAAUGACCCCAAAAUCCCACAAAAUUGACCAAAAUAGACCCAAAAUAGCCUCAAAACGGACCCAAAAUGCUCCAUCAUAACCCCUAAAAAGCCCCAAAUGGACCCAAAAUGAACCCAAGCAACCCUAAAAACA